rnacentral:rRNA from 1 species
UACGUAGGGUGCAAGCGUUAAUCGGAAUUACUGGGCGUAAAGCGUGCGCAGGCGGUUAUGUAAGACAGUUGUGAAAUCCCCGGGCUUAACCUGGGAACUGCAUUGGUGACUGGCAGGCUUUGAGUGUGGCAGAGGGAGGUAGAAUUCCACGUGUAGCAGUGAAAUGCGUAGAGAUGUGGAGGAAUACCGAUGGCGAAGGCAGCCUCCUGGGCCAACACUGACGCUCAUGCACGAAAGCGUGGGGAGCAAACAGGA